UACGUAGGGGGCAAGCGUUAAUCGGAAUUACUGGGCGUAAAGCGUGCGCAGGCGGUUUUGUAAGUUUGGCGUGAAAUCCCCGGGCUCAACCUGGGAAUGGCGAUGAAGACUGCAAGGCUAGAAUCUGGCAGAGGGGGGUAGAAUUCCACGUGUAGCAGUGAAAUGCGUAGAGAUGUGGAGGAACACCGAUGGCGAAGGCAGCCCCCUGGGCCAAGAUUGACGCUCAUGCACGAAAGCGUGGGGAGCAAACAGG
rnacentral:rRNA from 1 species